rnacentral:rRNA from 1 species
UACAGAGGGGGCAAGCGUUAUUCGGAAUUAUUGGGCGUAAAGGGCGCGUAGGCGGCUUGGCAAGUGGAAGGUGAAAUCCCUCGGCUUAACCGAGGAACUGCCCUCCAAACUGCUUCGCUUGAGACCGGGAGAGGUGAGUGGAAUUCCCAGUGUAGCGGUGAAAUGCGUAGAUAUUGGGAGGAACACCAGUGGCGAAGGCGGGUCGUCUGGGCCGAUAUUGACGCUGAGGAGCGAAAGCGUGGG